GGGGGGCAAGCGUUUGUUCGGAAUUACUGGGCGUAAAGGGCGCGCAGGCGGGCGGGAAAGUCUCUCGUGAAAGCCCACGGCUCAACCGUGGAAUUGCGGGAGAUACUACUCGUCUUGAGUCCGGGCGAGGAGUGUGGAAUUCCCAGUGUAGCGGUGAAAUGCGUAGAUAUUGGGAGGAACACCGGUGGCGAAGGCGGCACUCUGGACCGGUACUGACGCUGAGGCGCGAAAGCUAGGGGAGCAAACGGGAUUAGAUACCCCGGGUAGUCCUAGCUGUAAACGCUGAGCACUUGGUGUAGCGGGUAUCGACCCCCCUGCUGUGCCGAAGCUAACGCAUUAAGUGCUCCGCCUGGGGAGUACGGUCGCAAGGCUG
rnacentral:rRNA from 1 species